CAGGAAAUAUAAAAUAAGUAAUACGUGGGUGUAUUGUGUAUCUGCCUAGCGGGUGAACUGCCAUAACGUGGGCUGUAAACUUAGUUACAGUAGGGAACUUAGGCUAGGGGGUACUGAGCAUAUCUGCCUAGCGGGUGAACUGCCAUAACGUGGGCUGUAAACUUAGUUACAGUAGCGGGUGGGGAACUUAAACUAGGGGGUACUGAGCAUAUCUGCCUAGCGGGUGAACUGCCAUAACAUGGGCUGUAAACAUAGUUACAGUAGCGGGUGGGGAAUUUAGGCUAGGGGGUACUGAGUAUUGGACUUUUAGUGUUGUGUACUCCUGAAUUGCAAGGAAGAUGCUGAAAGCAGCUAUUAGCUGAUUGUUUAUUUUAAGAGCCGAG